CCUUAGCUCAGUUGGUAGAGCGCUACCUUUGCAAGGUAGAUGUCAGGAGUUCGUUUGUUAUCUGCAGGA
rnacentral:tRNA from 1 species